rnacentral:rRNA from 1 species
UACGGAAGGCAGCAGUGGGGAAUAUUGCACAAUGGGCGCAAGCCUGAUGCAGCCAUGCCGCGUGUAUGAAGAAGGCCUUCGGGUUGUAAAGUACUUUCAGUCGUGAGGAAGGUGUUAAGGUUAAUAACCUUAGCAAUUGACGUUAGCGACAGAAGAAGCACCGGCUAACUCCGUGCCAGCAGCCGCGGUAAUACGGAGGGUGCGAGCGUUAAUCGGAAUUACUGGGCGUAAAGGGCACGCAGGCGGUUAAUUAAGUUGGAUGUGAAAUCCCCGGGCUUAACCUGGGAAUGGCAUUCAAGACUGGUUAGCUAGAGUCUUGUAGAGGGGGUAGAAUUCCGAUGUGUAGCGGUGAAAUGCGUAGAGAUGUGGAGGAAUACCGGUGGCGAAGGCGGCCCCGUGGACAAAGACUGACGCUCAUGUGCGAAAGCGUGGGGAGCAAACGAGGGAUUAGAUACC